rfam:Clostridium tetanomorphum DSM 665 contig76, whole genome shotgun sequence.
UCCACCGUGAGGUAGAAUCUGAAGGAAGCCGAAGGCAAAAUCUUGGUCUGAGGAAUACAAAUUACAUAUAAGGCUUAC